rnacentral:rRNA from 1 species
AUGAGUUUCACUCGGAGAGCUCGAACUUCUCCAUCAGUGGCCGCAGCUGGUGCGGAACUGACGAUUCGAUCUAAAUCUGCCAGUACUUGCCCUUCUGCUCCAUUAUCAAAUUCCUUCACAAGCUAUGACAAUGCUACUACCUCGGGGCGCAACUCACCUAAUUUAAAGGAGGAGGGAUGUAAAACUGCAGAGCUCAGAACUUGGUCUUGCCAAAGAUCGUUCAGUGAUGAAGGAGACUAUCCAGACAAGGACAAUCGGCCUCCACUAACCGUACCGGUUGGACUGGUGUACAGGAAUGCUUGUGCAAUUCUCAGGUAUAGGAAUUCCUUUUCCAUUAAACAUUUUAAUAUUAGGGCAAGAAAUGGCUGA